UUUAAAGAUUUAUUUAUUUUAUGUAUAUGAGUACACUGUGGCUGUCUUCAGACACACCAGAAGAGGGCAUCAUAUCCUAUUACAGAUGGUUGUAAGUCACCAUGUGGUUGCUGGGAAUUGAACUCGGGACCUCUGGAAGAACAGUUGGUACUCUUAACCACUGAGCCAUCUCUCCAGCCCCCGGUUUAACCGGAUCUUACACUGGCCUCCCUUCACCCUUCUGGAGCUUUCUCCAGCUCUCUCUAGAAAUUCUCCAGACUCCACUUGCUUCUGCUCUGAGCCAGAAGUUCAAACACUGCUUUGGAGGCAGCUCUGCAGUUGAAUCCUGUUUCUUGCUGUCCCUGUGCUCUUGGGCCUUCUCAUCUGUUAGAUGGAGAGGAAUGUGCCCCUGGUAGAGUCACCACAUUUCUUUGGCUGAGCUGUACCUUGACAUCUAGAUUUCCUAUGUUUAAGGAGCUAGGGCUCUUUCCUCUGCAGGCUGGCACCCUUUCCAAGAGAAUCAGCCCUCUUCUAAGUCACUAAAAAUACUCCCUGGGGCCUUUAGUGGGGGUCCUUGGCUCUACAUUUCAGGACAGCUCAAGGGCAAUGUCCACCAGAUCACAGGUCUCUAACAAAAUAGUUGCCCAAUAAACAGGUCAGAUGCAACUCUCUCCCUGGGUGCUCCCUGCUAGGGUCCAGGGGUGCUCCUAGGACAGGUCUGACAGCGUUCUACAGACACUGCACUGUCCCAGACACAUGCCAGAUGGACAGUCUAGACCAGCUGCUGCCCAGGUAGAGGUGCCAGGCAGAUUCGGCAGCCUUCCCCAGCUGUCUCAUGAGCCAGGGCCCCAAGAUGGCCCUUAGCCACGGGGAACUAGGAACAGGGGCAAGGAAGGCACUAGAGAGGGACACAAGCAAUGCUGAUUGCUAUUCCAUUCCUCACCACACAUCUAGGAAAUACCUUCCUGUCUAAAGCCUCGGUAAUCCGAUGCCUCUGCAGAGCACUUGCUCCCGGAUGAGCACCCAUUGCCUCCUCCAUGCGCUGAGAAGCCACAGCCUGCAAUCCUGUGGGGCUCUUGUCUCCUCUCUGUGCACUGAGUCCUCAGCUAAUAGUCCCCAAGUCCCCAGCUGAUAGGAAGGCAUCUGCCAUAAUCGUGAGAAGCUGUGGGUCUCCCUCGCACCUGGCUACACGCAGCCGGAGGUGGGGUGGCUGGCGGGUUAGAAGGCAGAGCGGAUGUGGAACAGGCCGGUUAAGCACGGAGAAAGGCUAAGCCCUUCCUAACGGAAAAGGAAGAUGAAAUCAGAAUGAAAAUUGAUGAGGCAGGGAGAAAAGGAGACUCGUUUCAUCAGCAGGUUUACCAGAUGAAGCCCAGAGAUAAAUCACGCCGCAAAGAAGGCCUGGGCUCCAGGGCGCAAGCCUUCCCCUCUGUCAGCUGUGGCAGGCAGGCUGGGAGAUAAAUAGCUGCAGCUGAGGCCUUCAGUGGGUCUCUCUCUCUCUCUCUCUCUCUCUCUCUCUCUCUCUCUCUCUCUCUCUCUCUCUCUCUCUCUCUCUCUCCUCCCUUCACUGCAAUGAGAUAGCCUAUCAACCCUCCACACCCUUCCAGGUCUGCCCUGGUCUGGCUCAGUCCUUCAGUCCUCCCUACCCCAUAGGCGCCUAGAGUUCAUCCCAUAGGUGUCCUCCCCAGCUCAGCUCUUUCCUGUUCUCUCCAUAUUCACCUAGACUGCCUGCCCUACAGACAAGGGGAGAGAGCACAGCACAGGGCGUGGGGAAUGGUGGCAAUGUAGCCCAGGCUAUGUCUGGGAAUAGGCUUUGAUCAUAGGCUCAUCCCUCCUCCCAGCCAUCAGUAGCAACAGCUUGGAGAACGUCCUCAGAAAUGUAUAUUCCUGAGUCCACCCAGCCCUCCAGCAUCAGAGUCUGAGGAUGGAUAGGGCAUGGAGACCCAUGUUUGAGCUGGAUGACUCCCGAGAUCCCCAUUCUAUAAAGCAAGGAAUGAUACUUAGAAACCUCUAAAGCAUUUACUCACAAGAUGCUUGCUGUUGCUCUCCUGACAGGUAAGAAUGGAGUCUUCUAGAAUCCCCCCACUUCCUCUGUCCCGGGCCCAGGGAAACUUCCAAGUAGGGUCAGUAAAGGUCCAGUAGGCCUUUCACUCAUGUUGGGCACUUCACACGUGGGAAAGACGAGGGACAUAGCAUACAGGGAGGGCAGGUGGUUGUUCACAGAUUGAGAACAAAACAAUGGAAAAAUCUCUAUGGAAUAUAAAGGUGUUAUAGUGGAGCAGCAGGGCUCAGCUGUGGGAACAGGCAAUGUAUAGUCCCCCCACAUAUAGGAAGUUAGGCAAGUAUUGGGGACAGGCAUAGUCCCCCUACAUGUAGGAAGUUAGGUGAGUAUUCAGAGGAAAUAUGUGUGGGAUAGUUUUAUAUCAAAUUGACACAAAUUUUAGUCUGUGAUGGUUUGCAUAAGCUCGGCCCAGGGAGUGGCAGGAUUAGAAGGUGUAACCUUGUUGGCCUAGUUAUGUUACUGUGGGCAUGGGCUUAAGACCCUUACCAUAGCUACCAGUAUUCUGCUAGCGGCCUUCAGAUGGAGAUGUAGAACUCUCAGCUCUGCCUCUACCAUGCCUGCCUGGAUGCUGCCAUGUUCCUGCCUUGAUGAUUCUGGACUGAACCUCUGAACCUGUAAGCCAGCCCCGAUUAAAUGUUGUCCUUUAUAAGACUUGCCUUGGUCAUGGUGUCUGUUCACAGCAGUAAAACCCUAACUAAGACAUAGUCAUUUGGGAAAGGAGGAGUUACAGUUAAGAAAACAUCUACACCAGACUGGCCAUCUUGAUUGAUGAUUGAUGGGAGAUGGCCUAGCUCACUGUGGGCAGUGUCAUCCCUGGGCCAGUGGUCCUGAGUUCUGUAAGAAAGCAGGCUAUGCCAUGAGGCACAAGCCAGUAAGUGAGACUCUUCCAUGGCCUCUACUAGCUCCUGCCUCCAGGUUGCUGCCUUGAUUUCUUGCCGUGGCUUCUUUGAUGAUGCACAGUGUGCAUAAAUGGAAAAGGAAAUGAACUCUUGCCUCCCCAAGCUGCUUAUGGUUAUAGUGUUUUAUCCCAGCUGGUAUCUAAAAUGAUGAGUGAGGUUGAUAGGCACUUUGAUAAGAUUGUCUUUAAGAAUCUCCCUAGGCUGGGAGGACCAAGCUCCUAGAGGGAGUCUGGACCAAGAAGGGUCACAGGAAACACAGAUAAUGGGCAGACAUUCAACUCAGGAGCCACCAGAAGCAGAGGCCUGGGAGAAAGCUAUAGGAAGUGAAUGGCAAGGAGUGUUUCCCUGUGGCCUGUGAGGAGAGUGGAAAAGAGCAUUGCAAGCCAGGGCCAGGAUGGUCUGGACAUGAUUCUGUGUGUAAUGUAGGCUUAGUGUAGUCUCAGGAGCCACGGAGGCCACCAAGACUUCAGCCAUUAUUAAUAAUCCACCGAGCCAGUCUCACCUUGAGAUUGAAAUUCUACCUUCCCUCCUAUCCCAUGAAACUAUGGUCUGAAUUCAGGCUCCAUAUUCUUGUGUUAGAAACCCAAUCCCCGGGCUGGAGAGAUGGCUCAGCGGUUAAGAGACUACUCUUCCAAAGGUCCUGAGUUCAAAUCCCAGCAAACCACCUGGUGGCUCACAACCAUGCAUAAUGAGUCUGAUGCCCUCUUCUGGUGUGUCUGAAGACAGCUAUAGUGUACUUAUAUAUAAUAAUAAAUAAAUCUUUUUAAAAAAGAAAGAAACCCAAUCCCCUCUUUGGAGUGUGGUGAUUCAAGAUGCUAAUCCAAGCACUAGGGAGGCAGAGGCAGGUGGAUUUCUGAGUUCAAGUCCAGCCCAGUCUAUACAGUGACUUCUGGGACAGCUAGGACUACAUAGAGAAAGUAUAUCUUGAAAAACCAAAAUAAAAAGAAAGAAAUAUAAUCCCCAAUGGCUUAGUAUUGGAAGGUGUUUUGGUCACAAGGGCUCUACCUUCCUGAAUGGACACAUAGCUCCUGAAUGGCCUUUUGAAAGGCAUAAGAGAGAGAGUUUUGUCUUUUUCCGUUAGUCUUCUUCAGAGAAUCCAGAAUCCAAAAAUCUAUCUUAGAAGCAGUCAGCAGGCCUCCCUAUACGUUAAUACCUUGCUCUUGGACUUCUUGGCUCCCAAAAUUGUGAGAAACAAAUUUCUAGUCUCUAUAAAUGUCCAGUCUUUGGCGCCACCCUCAAGCCUCACAAAGAGGAUGUGUUUGAUGGUCACAUAUGCCACUGCCCUGUUUUCGUGGAAAAAGUGUCAGGUGACUUGCUCAAGUUCACACAGCACACAGUAUUGGGUCAAGGCCAGAGGUACAGUGCAUCCCCUGAUUUCCCCCAGUAAGCACUGAAAGAGUCUGAUAGUGAUCCAGGUCCUGGAUGUCUGACAAGAGUGGCUGCCUGUGCCCUUCCAACGCUGCUGUGACGAGGAAAUGAGGAGCUCCGCUGCAGUGUGAGAGGAUGUUGUGCCCCACCUGAGCGUGUUCAUUGGUCAAGCCAGGUCAUAGCUGGCUGGUGCCGGAGCCUAUGAUCUGGGACCUGAUCCUUCGAGAUCCUCCUGCCCCACUUCCCAAUUCUCCAUCCUAUAAUGGAAUGGGGGAGAUUUCCAACUGACCUUCUCUUGAUCAGUUUGCUUUGGGUCUGGACCAAUGCAAGAAGAAGCUGACCUCUGCCUAAGUUUACAGGCCUUCCUCAAGGACGAGCCUUCCCUUGUCCUGGUACAGCUUCUCCUUCAUCCCUGCGCAACAUCACAGCCCAGCAUGCCAGACAGCUGACAGCUCGCAAGCCCUGAGCCCGGUGGAGGGGAAUGCUUCCGACUGUGAUCGAUACCAGGCAUAAUUCAGUGACUGCAGCAAGUACAAAGGAGUGGAGGUUAAAUCAAUAUUUAGAAGCUUCAAAAUUAAACUAAUUAAGAGCAAGCCUUAAUGAUUUUUUACUGUCUGUGAAUAAAAAAGAUGAAAAGCCCGCCUAUAUUUCACGAUUCCGCUUUAGUAGCUGGGUAAUAAUUUGGAAGAGCAGGAAUGAACGGUGCUCUGGCGGCCCUGAGUUGUGCUGGAGAAGAAGGGCACCUUGCCUAUGGAGAUGGAAGAUGGGAGAAACUGGAGCAUCAAGGAAACAAGGGGACCAUAGUGCAAGGACCAUUAGCCUGGUGUCAGGCAUACUAUGCGCUGCACGGUGUCCCCACAAAAGAUAUACCAAACUCCCACUCUGGGUACUUGUGAAUGUACCCUUCUUAGAAAAUAGGGUUUUCAGCCGGGCAUGGUGGCGCACACCUUUAAUCCCAGCACUUGGGAAGCAGAAGCAGGUGGAUUUCUGAGUUCGAGGCCAGCCUGGUCUAAAAAGUGAGUUCCAGGAAAGCCAGGGCUAUACAGAAAAACCCUGCCUUGAAAAACAAAAAACAAACAAACAAACAAAAAACCAAAAAAAAAAAAAGGGUUUUCAUAGAUGUAAUUAAAAACGAUGAUGUCGUUAGAAAAAAACCCCAAUCCAAUAUGACCGAUGUCCCAUAAGAGGAGGAAAAUUCCACAUGAGGCCGAUACCCAGGAAGAAGGGACAAGACUCAGCUUCAUACAAAGGAAUGUGCCCUGACUUCCACUGAUGACUGCCAGCAGAAGCCAGCAGAAGCCAGCAGAAGCAGCAGAAGCAGCAGAGGCAAGGAUGAGCUCUUUUGGUCUUUUUUUUUUUUUUAAAAGAUUUAUUUAUUAUUAUAAGUAAGUACACUGUAGCUGUCUUCCCACACACCAGAAGACAACAUCAGGGGGGCUGGCGAGAUGGCUCAGUGGUUAAGAGCACCAACUGAUCUUCUGAAGGUCCCGAGUUCAAAUCCCAGCAACCACAUGGUGGCUCACAACCAUCUGUAAUGAGAUCUAAUGCUGUCUUCUGGAGUAUCUGAAGACAGCAACAGUAUACUUACAUAUAAUAAAUAAAUAAAUCUUAAAAAAAAAAGAGUGACGGUCAUAAACGUUAAAAAAAAAAAAGAAGACAGCAUCAGAUCUCAUUACGGAUGGUUGUAAGGCACCAUGUGGUUGUUGGGAUUGGAACUCAGGACCUCUGGGAGAGCAGUCAGUGCUCUUACCAGCUGAGCUAUCUCACCAGCCCUCCUUUGGUCUUUUUGAGGGAGGCUAGUCUGCUGACACCUUGAAUUUGAACUUCUAGCCUCCAGAUCUCAGUCAAUGUGUUUCUGUUGUUUGAAGGGAUGAGUUUAUAGUGCUUUAUUAUGACGGUCUUAGGAGGUUAGUCCAGGAAUUCUGGGCUCACGGUCCAACUCUGACUCUUACUAACCAUGCCGACUAGGCUGAGAUGCUCACCCUCCAUUACCUCCUCUGAAAGAUGGAGCUAAGACCUCACCGUGCUCUUUAAAAGCUCUAAACAGGAAGGCAAACAUGCAGAACAAGCUGCAGUGCUAGCUCAGUCCCUCCGGGGCUGGGCGGAAGCUGGGGGAAGACUCCGUAGCCAGCUGUCAGAAAAGCCUGGUCCUAGGCCCAUUCUACAGAUGCAAUCAAAUCACAGGCAUGUCCACUGUGUCACUAGAGAUGCUGUGAACAUAAAAGGCACUUUUAUUGUCCUUUUUAGUGGGGUUUUACUUACUGUGAGCUGAUCUUUUCUAAAUCUGUAAGAGGGACGGAUUGGAUAACAUCGUCUAAAAGAUAUUUUCGCUAUCACAUGCAUAUAUACAUAUAUAUGUAUACACACAGAUGCAUACAUACAUAUAUAUGCAUACAUAUACAUACAUAUACAUGUAUAUGAUGACUUUCACCUGUAAUCCCAGCAUUACAUUGGAGGCUGAGGCAGAAGAAUUGCUGUGACUUUGAGAUCAAGGUCAGCCAGGGCUACUUACUGAGAGCUCCACUUAAAAGAGAAAAGUAGUGUGUUGCUGCUUGUGGCAGGGCACACCUGUAAUCGCAGCACUUGGAAAGUGGAGACAGUAGGAGCACUUCAAUGCUGGACACUACUACAUAAUGGAUUUGAGGCUAGCCUGGACUACAUAAGACCCUAUUUCAAACAAACACAAACCCUAAAUCAAAAACCCAGCAUGUCUGUGCCAUCGGGUCUUGUUCUCCUCAUUACAUCUCCCCCAGAUGCCCACCCAGUAAGAUCAAUCCUGGGGGACACCGAUGUUGAUUGACAAGGUUUUUGGAAUGUCCUGAGGCUUCGCUGACUCUGCCCCUGGUGGCUGGGCUAAGGGAGGGGCCCCAGAGCAGCUUUCCUUUGUCUUCCUUACAGCAUACAGAGUAUGAAUGGACUGGGGAACAGCAUGAGCCAGAAAUAAAAUUCUAUCCUCAAGGGCCACUCGAAGCAAAUGUCCCUAAUGGCUCCCCUCACUCAGCACUGGUGCUUUGUCCCCAAGUGUAGCACAACAAGGCAGCUACUCUGUGGGAGCCCCAUGUGGGGAGAGGGUUGUCAGAUGCUCUCAAUUUCAGAAGCUGCAGCUUAUAGCAGUGUGUGUGUGUGUGUGUGUGUGUGUGCGUGCGCGCGCGCGAGCGCUUGCUUGCUUGCUUGCUUGCCUGUCUGUCUGUCUGUCUGUAGGGAACCAGCCUUCCUGCCACCAUGACAGCUAACAUUUUCCUCAGCUGGGUAUCGCUAGAGAAAAUGAGCAUGUGUUGGCACCUCACUCUCACAGGGGCAGACAACGGCAACACACCAUGACAGCCACUGCCAUCUCAUCACAAUGCCAGCAUCUGAGAUUUUCUCCCAUGUUAUAACUGCAGCGCCAGCCCCUCCACCUCCUCUGUUAAUGCCACCAGCCCCAUGUCUGCCAGGACGUCCGUCCUCAGCUUUGGUGGUGGUCAUUGUCUCUCUCUGUCUAUCUGUCAUCACCACCUAUUUGAGUGACCUCGGCUGGCAUCCUCAACUUCAUCUGCUGUCAGCAUCCUGUGACUCACCAGACCCUGGUCACCAUGAAAGACCAUGGGGAUGCCUCACAUCUAUGAUGUGUACACACUUAGACCCAGAUUCUGCCACUGGCAAAGACACAUGAGACAGAGAGAUUCCAAUAAUGAGAAGAGGUGGGGGCAUAGGAGUACACAGAAGUGGGCAUGUGGAACUCGCAUGCACAGAGCCGAGGAACAGGCAUGGUAUGGGAAAGGGCAGCAGGGGCAGGCCCAGAUGCCAGGGGUUUCUUGUACCUCUCCACAUGAGUGAAAGAGCAAACCUGGUUUCUUACACAGCCAGGUGCCCUCUGAGCAAGGGUCUGAGGCGCUGCUGAGUGGGCACAGAUGUGUCUGCACAGGGUAUCAGGGAAGGUGGAGGAGGCUUCGUAGGAGAUGCUGCUACCGCCCCACAAGGUUGCUCUGUGGGCCAGGGGGCUGGGCCGGGCCUCAGAGUCAGACUAGGGAGCAGUUCUGUCCUAUGUAACCAAAGGCCAACUCAGCAUUCCCAGUGAGGAAGUCAGUUCCUCACCAGGAAAGACAGAGUCCUAGCUGACAAAACACAGUGUGUGGGGAGUGGACCGAGGGGCUGAGGGUAGUGCUUUGGGCAUUGUGGUGAGGGGCUGGAAGGAUGUCACUGGCGCCGCCGGUGGAGGCAGGAAGAGCUGCUCAUCUGCAUGCUCUUUAGCAGCCUGCCCUGAGCCUGCCCUGGCGCGAAUACCAUAGCAACACCGUGCUCUUUAGACGCGGGAGUUCGUGCUGCCAUUGCAGAGAGAGUUGGGCAAUUUAAUUAAGGAGCUGGCAGCAGACAGACUUUGUGAGUUAAAGGCAUUUUAUUAAAUCCCAUUGUAUUGUGCAGCUUGGUCCCCGCAGGGGCUGUGGAACUGGGAGAAGCCGGCAGAAUUCGCCAGAGGUUUCUUUGCCUUCCCUUGCUGCUUCCGGUCUAGCUUAGAGAGAAAGCAUGGGUGGAGGGGAUCCCUACUGUGACUGCCUGGUCUCCCAGCCUUGGGCCCCAGGUAGCAGUGUGGGAGUGCAGUCCAAGUGCCACUCUUCAAGCUGUGGCCUCUCUUUCAGGGCCAGUGUCCAAACCUGGCUUCAGUGUUACCAGUUGCAGCUCUGGGUUAGAUGGAUCUUGGGGACUCUGAGGCCUCACCUCCUUGAGCCCCCUUCCUCUGCAGCAGGAACUACCAGCAUUCCCAUUUUACAGAUGAGGAAAUGGAGGUAUACAGAGGUGAAGUAAACAAGCCUUUGACAACUAUAUGUCACAGAGAAGCCAACUCAGAUUUGCCUGGUGACAACACGGACACUGUGGUCCUUGUGACCCCUAGUCUGUGUUAAGUGGAUCAUUACCCCUGGCUGGUAACCUCAGGCUGGCUCUGAGUUCCUGUGUUGGCUUGCACAGGGACGUGGCUCAGUCCUGGCCAGUUCUGGAGGCCAUUCGCUUUUUAGGGUGCCAGUGGGCUCCUUGGCCAUAGGGCUUCCUUGGGCCCCCCUGGUGGUUAGAGUUGUCUGACCUCAAGAGAAUUCUCCCCAGUGCUUGGGCCCUACUGCAAAGGGAAAGAAUUACCCUUCUCUGAGUCUCCUGGACCUUUCAUCAUGGAUUUAGGCCAUGCAGCCACCUGGUUCUACACUUGUAUAUACACAAGGGCAACCUCUUGGACUCUGUUUCUCAGGUCUAGAAUGGGGGAAGUGAUAUAUGAAGUGGAUGUAGCCAAGUUAGCAAAGCCAAUAGCCGUUCUUUUUCUUUUCUUUUUUCCUUUUUUUUUUUUUUUUGGUUUUACGAGACAGGGUUUCUCUGUGUAGCCCUGGCUGUCCUGGAACUCCCUUUGUUGACCAGGCUGGCCUUGAACUCAGAAAUUUGCCUGCCUCUGCCUCCCAACUGCUAGGAAAAAAGGCAUGUGCCACCACUGCCCAGCUGCCAAUAACCGUCCUUAUAAAUCCUCACAAUGUGUUUUAAUCAUCUCCAUCAUGGAAGCAAGGGAAUGGGGCAGAGAAGAAGGUAAGCCUCUGCCCAGCUAGGAAGGGCAAAAACCAGGGCUGCCAAUAAUAUGCCAUUGCAUAUAGACACACCUGUAGCUAUGUAUCCGCACACCCAUGCACACACACAGACACAUGCAUGGGACAGUUAUGCUAAUGGAUUCUUUAGAGGGAAUUCAUGUGCGAUGAGCUUAUUUUAUUGCUUAGUUGCAUUGGCCACUGUCUUAGCCUACUUGGACACAAUCACUAAGUUCCAUAAACCGGAAAGUUUAUAAAGAACAGAAUUGAUUUCUUGGAGCUGGGUAGUCUAAGAUGAAGGCAUCGGCAGAUGGCGUUGAGGAGUUGAAGGCUACCCUCUCUCCGUGCUUGCAAGUAUAGAGCGGGUCAAGCGGUUCUGGGGCUUUUACACAAGCAGUUACCCACCUGUGAUCUAAUUGUGUCCAAAUGGUAACAUCUUGCAAAUUACGUUUCGGCACUUGGGACAAUGGGCACAACUACCCAGUUACAGCAGUGCAGGAAGCCUUGGCAAAACAUGCCCUGGACAUGCUUCUCCUCUCCCAGCAUGCUCCAGAGCUGCAGCCCUCGGGGCUGGCUACAAGGCUUUCCACUGUGGUUGUGAGACGCCUCUCUCUCCCCCUUCCCUACCGUUGAGACCCUGGGGCUUCCACAUAGUUGCUUCUUUGUCCCACAGCUUUGGGCACCAAGUGACACCCUGAGCAGUCUCCAGGUGAGUUAUGAGACAGGACAGAGAAGCUGCCACAGAGGAAAAGCCAAGUGGCCAAGUGGGAGGGAGCCAGUCCACAGCACUGUACAGGUCUUCCCAGAAAAUAGCGACAUUUGGCAGUUUGGUUUGUGUGGAAAUCCAGACCACAGUCAAUCUUACCAAGGUACAAUUCCCUUGCUUAUAGAAUGAGCAUGUGAGUUACCUACCUUGAAUGCUGAUAGGUGCCAUUUAUCAAAAGCUUACAGUGUAUUGGGCCUUUAUAAAGUUUGAAAAAAAUUUACUCUGUGUGUGUGUGUCCUCUGAGCCAGGAAAGGGCGCUGGGUCCCCUAGAGUUAUAGUCAUCUGACAUGGGUGUUGAUGUGGACAGUGUCAGCAUGUUUUCUCAGGGAAUGAACAAGGGGACUGUUCUCCCAGUAAUAAUAAUUAAAAUCCUAAUAAUGAACACCUACAGCUUCUAUGUCUCCAGUGCCUCUCCUCCAGACCUCAAAACUCUGGGCAGCCAAUAAACCAACUGGCUUAUAGUCAUACAGCAGGGCCUAGAAUGGCUUAGGUAUGGCCAGACUUUGUCUCCUCCAGUUGGGAGAGAAGCACGGGUGCCUAGGGACCAGCCUUGGAAGUUGCCUUUGCGUGCCACGUCACAGCUGGAAAAGGAUCGUGGGUGUCCACUUCUUGUGGGUCUAGCUGCAUCCACACCCAAGAGGAUCUGGUUGGCCCGGAGAAAGGUAUCAGCCCAACCUUCAAACGUCCCCUCCCAGAGCUUCCCAGCUGCCUCUGCUCAAGCAGGGCUGUCAGUGUCUCUCAGCCAGUGGGAAUCACAUCCUGCAGGGCUUGGCCCUGCAGGGGACAGCUGAUGGCUUUCUCUGGUCUCAGCCAGGAGUCAUUACACAUGGAAUGCCUGGUUUAAACAAGUAAUUAGGUGACUGUAUUAGAAAUGUACGUGCUUCCCACCAGAGAAGGAUGGAAACUUCCCAGACCGCAGUAACAGCUGCUCUCCUGCAGAGCCUUUUCUGAGGGAGCCCUGCAUCCUUCCUUCAAGCCAGGAUCCAGAAGGGCUCUAAACUGGACAGGUUGUCAGCCACAGAGCCCAUUCCUGACUGCCUGGGGCGUACCCACACCGUUACAAACACAAGGACCCUCAGCAGUUUAAACAAUUGGAAAGCGCUCAGGGAGGCUGUGGCUCCUCCCCUGCUCUCCGGGAGGCUGUGCCCCUCCCCCAACUCCCACCCAAAACUGGCAACUGGGCUUGCUGGGGUGUCACAUCUCCUUCACCUCCAGGAACUUUGGGGCAGGAAGGGGUCAGAGGGGAGACUGAAGAUGGACUUCCUGAUAAAUUCGCCCUACCUCAAAAGCUCCAGGUAAUCACAAGCUUUCUGAGUUUGGGAGCCCAUGGUGGGAGAUUCCAGGCCAGAGCAGGGCUAGGUAAAAAUUGUAGGUAGCCUCAGGGUUCAGUUUUGAUGAGCUUCUCAGCAGCUGCUCUGUCCCCUAUUCUGCUGCCAGCUUGAUUCCGGAUGCUGGCAAGCCUCUUGCCAUAGCCGCAGCUUUUUCAACCUGCUGGAAGCCAGCGGGGCCUGAAUGAAGAUGACAGGCACUGAGGCAGUUUGCAGACCCUGUGUGGGGCAAGCGCUGGCCUCCUCUACCACACAGGCAGUGAUGGAGUGCCUGCCUGCCUCGGUGCCUCAUUGCCAGCUCCCCCCCCCGCCCCCCCCGCUGUGACAGCUCCAUAUCUACCCUGUCACUACGCUGACAGCCUCUAAUGAUGAAAACAGCCCCAGUGUCAUAUAAAUUCUUCCAGAAUCCUAGCAGCUAGGAGGAGAUCAGGUUUGGGAAGCUGGGAACCAAAUGCAUUUCACUGCAUGGCAAGAGAGAACACAGCCUCCAAAACAUCAAAGACUGGUGUUCAAAUCCUGCCCUGGCAUCUUUCUAGCUCUAUAACCUUGAACAAACGACUUAGCCAUUCUGAAUGUCAGUUUCUAGAUCAUGAAACGAGAACGGUACUUCACACUGUUGUCUUAAGCAUUAAAUAGAAUCAUCAUGACAGAGAAUCUGACAUAAGAAGGGGGGGGGGGUGUUCAACAAGUGAGGUCUCUUCUCCAGUCUGCAUUGGUAGGGACAUUAAAUUACUAUGUUAGGUCUCAAAUCUGGGACAAGCAGAUGACUGAGGUGCCUAUUAACAUAUCAAAUCAGGCACUGCCAGCCAGCUUCCCUCAGCCUCACCAGUACCUGUCCUGGAGAUACUCUAGAUGGCAUACCCCACUGCCUACCCUAAACUCUCCAGCCCAGAGAUUGGGCUGGCCCUUUCCCCAACCUUCUCUUCCCUAGUAUGUAUGUAUGUAUGUAUGUAUGUAUGUAUGUGUGAAUAUGUAUGUAUGUAUGUUUGUAUGUAUGUAUGUAUGUAUGUAUAUAUGUGUAUGUAUGUAUGUAUGUAUAUGUAUGUAUAUAUGUGUAUGUAUGUAUGUAUGUAUGUAUGUAUGUAUGUAUGUAUAUUUGUUACACUGAAUCUCUUGGCCUCUUGGCUGCUGUUCCUGGUUCCUGCUCUCCAGGCUCCUGGCCUUCUGUCUCUCCUUUCUUUACCCCUAGUUCUUUACAAGGAUCCGUUCAGUCUGGUCAUGUUCACUCUAGGCUCUUUCAGAUGCCUCUGGCUAUGUUCUCCUUCAUACCUACAACAAAUUUUCUCUUUCACUCAUCCCUAGGAGAGUUAUGUUUUCUGUCUCUGUCUCUCUCUGUGUCUCUCUAUUUGUGAUCAUUCUGGUAGCCCCAGUGAAGUAUGAGGCCCUAGUGGGGUGGCCACUUGGUUGUGUGGAAGUGGUAGGCAAAGGUACUCUCCCUGUGCCUGGCUGGAGCCUACCAGUCCUCAUGGCUUCCCCACCAAGCUGUCCCUGGAGCCACUCCUCGACAUCCCACAGCAGCCAUCUGGGCUCCCUUCUGUCUCUCAUCUCUUCCCUCUGUCCUCAUGAGAGUUGCUAAUCUCCUUGGUGACUAGGGCAGAUCCUCCUCCAUUCCUGCCACCACCUCCGUCCCUGUACUCACAGGCUCUAGAUCUCUCCUUUGGGCUUCCAAGUCUUUAAAUCUGUCCUUCUGGAGAGUUCUUGUCUGCUCAGGGAGUUCUUAGUUAUUUGGCUCUUACCCUCUCCCUUACCAUCCGCCCUGCUGCCAUAGUGCCGGCCCAACCUUAGCAGGAACUGGUUCCCUAGCAACCUCAGCUGCCUCCCCUAGGCUGAGCUCCUCAGAGCAGGGGCUGGGCACGUGGCCAGUGUUCAUCAGUUUGUGUUAGGUGGAACAGAUUAUGGGGGUACCCUUGAUGGAAGCUUCUUGUUAAGGAAACAGUUAUCCUCCCACUUGGUUUUUACCAGAGCAAGCCUGGGCCUGUGUGUGGACAAGACAUGGGGGCCAGGUCUGCUCGGCUGGAGGCAUAGCCACCUGGAGUCUGCAGUUCUCUACUCCAUGCCAAGGCAGAGAGCCACCAUAGCUCAGACUGACAUCCUGCAGUUACAGAUUGAUGAAGGAACCAAGGCAACUGACUGGUCAAAAGCCACCUGAGAAGGUACAUGGCUAAAACUGGAGCCGGACUGGUCUCGUUCUGAAGUGAGAGUUGGUUUCUAAGAUGCUUCCUCCUGCAGAAAUUACAACACCGUCUCCCUAGGGGUCAGGGGAAGGCUCACACUGAAAACCUGCAUCUGUGUGGUUUGUGUUCCUGCUGUUUCUCUUCCAUAGACCACAGAUGAUAGGCAUAAGAAUGUAUAAAUUGAUGGGUUGGUAGGUGGAUGGGUAGAUGGGUUUGACAGUGGGUGGAUGGAUAGAUGGGUUUGCGGGCGGGUAGAUGAAUGAGUAGGUGAUGUGAUUGUUAAUAGUGAUUGUCAACUUGACAGGAUCUAGGAUCACCACAGAGACAGCUCCUGGGCAUCUCUAUGAAGGGUUUUCUAGAUUAGGCAACUGAUGUGAGAAGACUCAUCCUAAACAUGGGGAACACCAUUUCAAGGACUGAGGUACCAGACUUCAUAAAAAGGAGAAAGUGAAUUGAACCUCAGGUCAUUUCUCUUUGCUUCCUGACUCUGGAUCCAGUGUAACCAGCUGCCGGAAGCUCCUGUUGCUGUGUCUGUCCCACUAUAUCAGACUGCAUUCUUGAACUGUGAGACAAAGUAAACCCUUCCUCCCUUAA